rnacentral:rRNA from 1 species
AGUGAACGCUGGCGGUAGGCCUAACACAUGCAAGUCGAACGGCAGCACAGUAAGAGCUUGCUCUUACGGGUGGCGAGUGGCGGACGGGUGAGGAAUACAUCGGAAUCUACUUUUUCGUGGGGGAUAACGUAGGGAAACUUACGCUAAUACCGCAUACGACCUACGGGUGAAAGCAGGGGAUCUUCGGACCUUGCGCGAUUGAAUGAGCCGAUGUCGGAUUAGCUAGUUGGCGGGGUAAAGGCCCACCAAGGCGACGAUCCGUAGCUGGUCUGAGAGGAUGGUCAGCCACACUGGAGCUGAGACACGGUCCAGACUCCUACGGGAGGCAGCAGUGGGGAAUAUUGGGCAAUGGGCGCAAGCCUGAUCCAGCCAUACCGCGUGGGUGAAGAAGGCCUUCGGGUUGUAAAGCCCUUUUGUUGGGAAAGAAAAGCAGCAGGUUAAUACCCCGCUGUUCUGACGGUACCCAAAGAAUAAGCACCGGCUAACUUCGUG